rnacentral:rRNA from 1 species
GAUGAACGCUGGCGGCGUGCCUAACACAUGCAAGUCGAACGGACUCAUAUUGAAACCUAGUGAUUUAUGAGUUAGUGGCGGACGGGUGAGUAACGCGUGGAAAACCUGCCGUAUACCGGGGGAUAACACUUAGAAAUAGGUGCUAAUACCGCAUAAGCGCACAGCUUCGCAUGAAGCAGUGUGAAAAACUCCGGUGGUAUACGAUGGAUCCGCGUCUGAUUAGCCAGUUGGCGGGGUAACGGCCCACCAAAGCGACGAUCAGUAGCCGGCCUGAGAGGGUGAACGGCCACAUUGGGACUGAGACACGGCCCAG